GUCCUGGCUAAGGAUUGUGAUAUCCUCUAAGGAGCACAGAUGGACAAGGCCAGGGGCAAGGAGAGAGAGAUAAGCUGCUGCUAAUGGCUGGGAAACGGUCUUUUUGUGUGGACUUAUCUCGAGGAAGAUGGCCAUCUCAGGAGGUAUGCACAGGACUCUUGCUCAAGCCCCCAGGAAUGUCACGUAGGCAGGAGAAAAUGGAGGAUAAAAGAGGGUCCAACAACCACGGCAACAGUAGAGGCUUAUCUCUCACCACGACAGACUUGAGGGGUUCUCUGCCAUCUGAUCCUUCACCACAACCGAGAGGCUGAUCUCUCAUGAUCUCUCACCACGACACGAGCUUUCUGCCUUCAGAUCCUUCUCUACGGACCGUUUGCUGACGGACUUCCCUGGGCCUGCUACCUGAGACCUGCUGCUUCCUCCCUGACCUGCACCCUCUCGUUGCCCAAGACCAGCCUCGCUGCUCCUGCCCUUCGGCCUCAGACCAUCGGAACGUCGUGCAACGGGACUGCUGCUGGAUCCUGGUGGUGACUAUCCCCGCUUUACGCAAUUCUUGCCUCUUUCUAUCUUUUCUAUCGCUCGCCUUCCCUUCCCCAUCACCCCAAUCCUUAAUAGUGUCCGUCCUCCCCUUUCCCCAUCUCCCUUAUUAACAUUUGUAAUAAACUGGUCGGACCACCAUUUGAACCAUUGUUUCUUAAUCUCACGCCGGGCAUACCUCCUCUCCCUCCUAUAAAUUGGAGCGACACUAUUCUAUGCCCCAAACUCCACUCCUAACUAAUGACCCAAUAUUGUUCAUGCUCAACUAUUACAAUUUUAACAACGUAACAGAUUAGCCCUUUAUUCACCGGCAGGGUGUCCCCUGCUUCAAAGUGCACUUUCCCUC
ensembl:lncRNA